rnacentral:rRNA from 1 species
AGCGAACGCUGGCGGCAGGCUUAACACAUGCAAGUCGAGCGGGCCCUUCGGGGUCAGCGGCGGACGGGUGAGUAACGCGUGGGAACGUGCCUUCUGGUCUGGAAUAACCCUGGGAAACUAGGGCUAAUACCAGAUACGCCCUUUUGGGGAAAGGUUUACUGCCGGAAGAUCGGCCCGCGUCUGAUUAGCUAGUUGGUGGGGUAACGGCCUACCAAGGCGACGAUCAGUAGCUGGUCUGAGAGGAUGAUCAGCCACACUGGGACUGAGACACGGCCCAGACUCCUACGGGAGGCAGCAGUGGGGAAUAUUGGACAAUGGGCGCAAGCCUGAUCCAGCCAUGCCGCGUGAGUGAUGAAGGCCUUAGGGUUGUAAAGCUCUUUUAUCCGGGACGAUAAUGACGGUACCGGAGGAAUAAGCCCCGGCUAACUUCGUG